GCUCUCUAGGUUAUUCAAGGACACCGAAAAGCCAACACCAUGGUAGCAUUAAUGAAAGUUUACCAAGAGGAAGAUGAAGCCUACCAGGAAUUAGUUACCGUGGCAACCACGUUCUUCCAGUACUUACUGCAGCCAUUUAGGGCUAUGCGAGAAGUUGCAACUUUAUAAGUCCUUGGAUGAGGAUGACCUAGGUCCUAGAAGGGUAGUUGCCCUGGAGAAAGAAGCUGAAGAAUGGACCAGACGGGCUGGAGAAGCUGUCGUCUCUAUUCAAGAUAUCACAGUGAAUUAUUUUAAGGAGACAGUAAAAGCAUUAGCAGGAGUUUCUGAUAUAUUGCACAGAAUCAACAAGAUAUAAAGCAGAAUGAUGAUCCUGGUUUUUUGGUCAAACUAUCCAUAUGAGCCUGUCUGUCUAGCUAGUCAUAGAAACAAUAUGGAAGCAAGUGUGCCAAAAUAUAAGAAGCACUUGCCUCAACUAGGAAUGCAGAAAGAAAUGGAACAGGAUGUGAAGAGAUUUGGCCAGGCUGCCUGGGCCACAGCAAUUCCCAGGUUGGAAAAACUUAAGCUAAUGCUAGCUCAAGAGACUCUGCAACUCAUGAGAGCGAAAGAGUUAUGUUUAAAUCACAAAAGAGCUGAAAUUCAGGGAAAGAUGAAAUUUAGAAUCAAGUUCAAAACAAAAAACUCUUUGGAAUUUUGAUUGUGAUUUUGCUUAAAAUUAGAGAUUACUUUGGGGAGAAUAGUGGUCUUUGCAAUUUUGAAUCUUCCUACCCAAGAACAUGAAAAACAGGAUGAAGUUGUCUAUUACGAUCCAUGUGAAAGUCCAGAGGAACUUAGUCAUUGACUGUGGUGGGGCUGCAGGACGAUAAGAAUUCGGAAGUGAAAGAACUCAGAAGGCAGUGCCAGCAGCUGGAGUCUAUUAAACGGGGCAGGAUCUGUGUCAAAAGAGCUUCUCUCCAGAGUAGAAAG
rnacentral:lncRNA from 1 species